GACGGACAGUGGUCCGCUGUUGGCGGUGUCUCGGCACCUAACGUGGAGAUGCCAGCGUCAAGCUUGACAGCGCGGGAACGAGGUGUCCCUGUCAUGACUUUCAAAAUAAAAGGCAACGUAUUUCCGGCAUUAUCUUGUCUUUCUGUGGCUGACUUGAUAGACCUGACCACUACAAUGCUCUAGUCUUAUCCACCGGACGGAUGGAGGUGGAAGUGGGGAGGGAGCAGAGAAAGAGCCCGAGGCAGACGCCAGCAAGCAUGACCCUCCCCCCUGUGUUUUAUAGUUCCACCACAGCAAGGUGAGAAGUCGUGGUUUGUCACAGGUAGGAUCAAACCCCAGAGGCUAACAUCACUCAACCCCUGCCCCCACACCAGUGAUCUCAACUGUCAACUGGCAUCAACCAACCAAACAUAGGGAAGUCCCAAGGCUAUACCCCGCUAACAGACCGCAUCCUGAUCUGAUUUUUGAAAAGUAUUUUAUAGUUUUCUUAGUUAGUAAACAUUGACAACAUUUGUCUCCCAACAAUAAAACUUAAAAAAGGUAAAAACUGGUAUUGCAAUAUGUAUUACUAUUGUCUGUGAAGUAGCUUUGAUUUGUUUUUUGUUUUUUUGGCAUAAAAAAAGAUUCCAUUAUAAUCAAAAGAAUGGUACCUCUUUACUGCAUGGAUUAUGCUACCUUACAGUAUAUGUUACAGAUAUAAAUCAGAAAUGCUGCAAUAUGCUUCAGUAGGCUUUAUUAACCUAAACUAAACUAUUAAUAAAGUAAUUCCAGUAAUGCAAUACAUAUAUACAUUUGUAGGAUAGCUACAGAUAUAGAAAUACAACAGUGCUAGUCAACCCUGUCUUCUGCAUUUGUUGUAUGGUCCGAUUUGCAGUUUAUGUGCUUUUUUUGUUUGUUUGUUUUUUUUUGUUUUGUUUUUUUUUUACAUAUUUUUAGAUGUAGAUGUAGCAGAAUGUAGCAAAUUGCAGUCUAAUUUACAGUACUUUUGUGUUAUGUUAGGUUUUGAACAUACUUUUAACAGUUUUUAAAAAAGUAUGUAAACAUGUGCAUGAGUGAGGAAACAACUGAUGACAUUUGAAAGACGUGGUUACCGAAUGCACCUUGUAUCAAAGCAAUGAAACGUUAUUCAUUGCUGUGCUGACUGCAAGUUUUUUAAAAGUGAACUCGGUAUUGAGAAAUGUGUGUUACCAGUUGUAAAAAAAAAUUAAUUCAAGUCAUUGAAAUGUAAUUAUUCAUCCAGGGAGAACAAUCAGUCAACAACAGUUUUAUUGGGUUACUUAUUGGGUUAAGUAUCAUACUUGAUCAAUUUUCUAAGUGUCUAAAAUGCACUCUGUUCUAUUCUAUUUAGUUCUGUUGUAUUCUAUUUUAUUCCAUUCUAAAUUAUUGUUCUAUUCUAUUCUGUUCUGUUCUAUUCUAUUCUGUCUCUAUGCUGUGCUGGCCACCUGGCAGGAAGGCCAUCUGCUCCAUGCCCAGCCAGUAAACUUGCUGAUGGAUAAAGCAUAAUGUGUAACACACACACACACACACACACACACACAGCCAUGGAAUGCAUGCACAGCAUCACCAGCUACAGGUGGGUCCAUAAACACAUAUGGGUCUGUCUUGGAAUUAAACAGGUGGCUUGAAUUCAGGUUCUUAUGCUGACAGUACUCCAAACAUCAUCACCAUCACUUCUUCAAG